GGAAAAACUAUGAUCCUCCACUAAACUAGAAGAAGAAGAAGAUCUCUGCAUCCGGUACGUCACGGACUAGGUCACGUGUCUUGGCCCCAUAACGCGGAAGCAAAUCGCUCCUGUAUGUUACCCUGCGCCACUGAGCAGUUUGUAUAGGAAUGAAUGGGCGGCCAUUUUCCAGGCUGUGGUCCAUCCUUUAUUAUGUCCAUGAUGUUACCCUGCGCCACUGAGCAGUUUGUAUAGGAAUGAAUGGGCGGCAAUUUUCCAGACUGUGGUCCAUCCAGCUGCAGCCCCGGGGAACAACACUCUGGCGUGACAACCAUAGGUGACAACAACCCUGGCGCGACGGAAGUACUCUGGCGUAACUUUUUUUUUUUUACACACCGCUAAAUUGGAUAUCAAAGAUGAACCAUGGAAAAACAAAGUGGAAGUGAUAGUCCACCAGCCGGUGUUCACGAGUUUCAAC
ensembl:lncRNA